rnacentral:rRNA from 1 species
GUCCAGACUCCUACGGGAGGCAGCAGUCGGGAAUAUUGCACAAUGGAGGAAACUCUGAUGCAGUGACACCGCGUAUAGGAAGAAGGUUUUCGGAUUGUAAACUAUUUUAGACAGGGAAGAAAAAAGACAGUACCUGUAGAAUAAGCUCCGGCUAACUACGUGCCAGCAGCCGCGGUAAUACGUAGGGAGCAAGCGUUAUCCGGAAUUAUUGGGUGUAAAGGGUGCGUAGGCGGUUUAGCAAGUCAGAAGUGAAAGCCCGGGGCUCAACUCCGGGACUGCUUUUGAAACUGUUGAACUAGAUUGCAGGAGAGGUAAGUGGAAUUCCUAGUGUAGCGGUGAAAUGCGUAGAUAUUAGGAGGAACACCAGUGGCGAAGGCGGCUUACUGGACUGUAAAUGACGCUGAGGCUCGAAAGCGUGGGGAGCAAACAGGAUUAGAUACCCGAGUA